rnacentral:rRNA from 1 species
GAUUAAGUUAUUAAGGGCGCACGGUGGAUGCCUUGGCACUAGAAGCCGAUGAAGGACGUUACUAACGACGAUAUGCUUUGGGGAGCUGUAAGUAAGCUUUGAUCCAGAGAUUUCCGAAUGGGGAAACCCAGCAUGAGUUAUGUCAUGUUAUCGAUAUGUGAAUACAUAGCAUAUCAGAAGGCACACCCGGAGAACUGAAACAUCUUAGUACCCGGAGGAAGAGAAAGAAAAUUCGAUUCCCUUAGUAGCGGCGAGCGAAACGGGAAGAGCCCAAACCAACAAGCUUGCUUGUUGGGGUUGUAGGACACUCUAUACGGAGUUACAAAGGACGACAUUAGACGAAUCAUCUGGAAAGAUGAAUCAAAGAAGGUAAUAAUCCUGUAGUCGAAAAUGUUGUCUCUCUUGAGUG